rfam:Loxodonta africana unplaced genomic scaffold scaffold_3, whole genome shotgun sequence.
GAAAAGGUUUUCUUUAAAACCACUAUAAACUCGAAUACAGUAUCAAU